CAAAGUUCCCGGUUCAAUCACUUAUUUUGCUUGUUUCUGUCUUCAUUCAUCCUUGCAGCUCAUCCUUGUACCUCUCCACUCAGCGGGUCAUGGAGAAGUUGCAUCAUCCAUGUGCUCCAUGGUUGGAUCCAUGGCUCAGACAGUGAAAGAAAGAACAUGCUGGUUGAACCUAAGCAGGAUCCCCUUUUAUAUCCUUUUGAACACCUUUUAUUUUCCAGUUCAUAGGCUGAUUCUGGAUGCUUUAGCAGGGAAGGCAUGAAAUCUUGGGUUUUCUUCUGGCUUUGCUACCGGACCAUCGUGUGGCCUUGGGUCUGGGGAAAAAAAAGAAACAGGACUCAGGUGGAGAAUGAAUGCUUUGAAGAGGUUUCCACCCCAUAACCUAAGUCAUGGUCCCUGCCUGCACACCAGCCUUCUCCACAAUACAGAUCCUACAGCCUGCAGAUGCUUGGGCCAAAUGCUCCUACCUGUGUGCACGCCUCUUUGGGUUUGCUGUCGCAUUGACAACACUGACUAUUCAUGGAAAAGUGUGGAUUCAGACACAAGGAGGCAGAUACCAAAACCACAAUAGGGGCUGUGGGAGUCUCGUCCCUCUUUGAACAUCUGAACUGGUGGGCAGCUACAUUCCCUGGGAAGAGGAGCCCACAAGGACAACCAGAAGCCAAACUGAAGGCAGGAUUCAAAUCUUCUUCACUCCAUACAUGUUGGUCCACAUCGAGGGGAUGUCAUGGCAACAGCUCAUCCUAAUUCUGUUUGCUUUGGAAGGGAGUCUGGGGGUCUCCCAGGACCUCCUCGUUCAUUUUGUGGACCCAAAUCAUCACUUACACAGAAGUCAUCUUGCAGAAAGCAGUGGAGAAACCAGAAGCAACAGCAAGGACUGAGUCUCAAAAUAAUCCCCUUCACACCUGGCCCAAAGAUCAUCAAAGACAACAUCAGUGCUAGUACCGAAGGCUCAUUCCCAGAUAAACCAAGAGUGCUAAACUGGGUUUCUGAUGCAGUGUGAGAUAUCUUUUUCUCUACUGGUUCCCCCCAGGAGAAACGAAAGAACAGGAAGAUGAAGACAGGACUGAGGAGCAGAGCAGGUAAUGAAAUGCUCUUUGGCUGCAGAUAUCCCAUACUUUGACUUGUUCAAGCGGCAUCCAAAUGAUGUUGCAUCCAUCAGUGCCAGGGAGCAUCCCCAUCAGCAUUAUCAGGGAAUGUCAGAGAAGGAAAGAAAAGAGAGACGGAACGGGAGAGAGCCGGCAGUGCCAGCAACGCAGUGCUAGGCACCAGGCGGCAGUCAGCGGCACGGCAGCACUCGUCAUCGUGCCACAGCUCCGGACUGUUCACAUUUCACUUCUCCACCUCUGACAUUCAUUGCCAUUAAGGGCAGAUAAAAACAUGAGAUUAUUUUAGUAUGGUGACAUCUGGGCAACAGUCUGGCAGUUCUCUUCCCCAACUUUGGUUCAAAGUUUUCAGCCAAAACAUGUUUUCCCCAGUAAAUUAUUUCUGUAGCAGCCAAGAUUCUGGGUUUUGUUGGAAUAUAAAUGAAAUGAAACAAAAAUU
rnacentral:lncRNA from 1 species